GUGGGGAAUAUUGGACAAUGGGCGAAAGCCUGAUCCAGCCAUGCCGCGUGAGUGAUGAAGGCCUUAGGGUUGUAAAGCUCUUUCAGUGGGGAAGAUAAUGACGGUACCCACAGAAGAAGCCCCGGCUAACUUCGUGCCAGCAGCCGCGGUAAUACGAAGGGGGCUAGCGUUGUUCGGAUCUACUGGGCGUAAAGCGCACGUAGGCGGAUCGUUAAGUCGGUGGUGAAAUCCUGGAGCUCAACUCCAGAACUGCCUUCGAUACUGGCGAUCUUGAGUACGGAAGAGGUGAGUGGAACUCCUAGUGUAGAGGUGGAAUUCGUAGAUAUUAGGAAGAACACCAGUGGCGAAGGCGGCUCACUGGUCCAAUACAGACGCUGAGGUGCGAAAGCGUGGGGAGCAAACAGGAUUAGAAACCCCUGUAGUCC
rnacentral:rRNA from 1 species